rnacentral:snRNA from 1 species
AAAUUUAAGUUCAGUAAGCUGCAACAUCUGUCACCCCAUUAAUCGCCAGGGUUGAUUUGGCUGAUCUGGCUGGGUAGGUGGGUAUCCCCUUCCUCCCUCAACGCUCCAUGUGCGUCCCUCCUGAAGCUGCACGCUUGGUGGAAGAGGACAAUGAUCCAGAUAUAGAAAGGUCUUUGGUUUUGGGUAUACAAUAGCAGUGCUCCCCUACUAAUACCUCCAAACAAACUCAAGGUCCACUUAACUUGUUGAUAGGUAGUAUGCUUUGAAUGCAAGAGAUCCCAGAUUCAGUCU